rnacentral:rRNA from 1 species
CUGAUGUUAGCGGCGGACGGGUGAGUAACACGUGGGUAACCUGCCUGUAAGACUGGGAUAACUCCGGGAAACCGGGGCUAAUACCGGAUGGUUGUUUGAACCGCAUGGUUCAAACAUAAAAGGUGGCUUCGGCUACCACUUACAGAUGGACCCGCGGCGCAUUAGCUAGUUGGUGAGGUAACGGCUCACCAAGGCAACGAUGCGUAGCCGACCUGAGAGGGUGAUCGGCCACACUGGGACUGAGACACGGCCCAGACUCCUACGGGAGGCAGCAGUAGGGAAUCUUCCGCAAUGGACGAAAGUCUGACGGAGCAACGCCGCGUGAGUGAUGAAGGUUUUCGGAUCGUAAAGCUCUGUUGUUAGGGAAGAACAAGUACCGUUCGAAUAGGGCGGUACCUUGACGGUACCUAACCAGAAAGCCACGGCUAACUACGUGCCAGCAGCCGCGGUAAUACGUAGGUGGCAAGCGUUGUCCGGAAUUAUUGGGCGUAAAGGGCUCGCAGGCGGUUUCUUAAGUCUGAUGUGAAAGCCCCCGGCUCAACCGGGGAGGGUCAUUGGAAACUGGGGAACUUGAGUGCAGAAGAGGAGAGUGGAAUUCCACGUGUAGCGGUGAAAUGCGUAGAGAUGUGGAGGAACACCAGUGGCGAAGGCGACUC